rnacentral:tRNA from 1 species
CGUCUGGCGGAGCGCCCGGCGAGCACCCGCCGGCUCCAGGUGCCGGUGCGGCACGCCGACGGGUCGGGUGACGCGCCGGUGCCUCCGGCGACGGGCGUC